rnacentral:rRNA from 1 species
UACGUAGGGGGCAAGCGUUGUCCGGAAUCAUUGGGCGUAAAGCGCGCGUAGGCGGCCCUGUAAGUCCGUUGUGAAAGUCAAAGGCUCAACCUUUGAAAGCCGAUGGAUACUGCAGGGCUCGAGUUCGGAAGAGGCGAGUGGAAUUCCUGGUGUAGCGGUGGAAUGCGCAGAUAUCAGGAGGAACACCAAUAGCGAAGGCAGCUCGCUGGGACGAUACUGACGCUGAGGCGCGAAAGCGUGGGGAGCAAACAGG